rnacentral:lncRNA from 1 species
CUUUUAUUUCUCUUGCCACAACCCCUGGCUGAUCCGGUCCCGGAAUUGUGCAGACACCGGCACAACAAGGCACAGGCUGAGUCACAGAUUGCAAGGGAAGGUGAAACACGUACUGAUCCAGUGGAGAAACUGCAGUUCCUGGUGCAGAUGUGCACAUACUGCCUACUUUAUUCCUGGGUUUUCUUUUUCAGAGCGGAACAACACAUUUAAAAAAGAAACCUUUACCUUGUUGCUACGCAAACACGAAUUGGUGUUAUUAUAUCCCCAGAAAGCAGAACAACAAUAUUGCAAGAUCUCAGAUGGCACAUGUUGAUGUGACACCCACAGAGCCAGUUGAAAUAUGUCAC